ACUUAGUGGCGGACGGGUGAGUAACGCGUGGGUAACCUGCCCUGUACAGGGGGACAACAGCUGGAAACGGCUGCUAAUACCGCAUAAGCCCUUAGCACUGCAUGGUGUAUAGGGAAAAGGAGCAAUCCGGUACAGGAUGGACCCGCGUCUGAUUAGCCAGUUGGCAGGGUAACGGCCUACCAAAGCGACGAUCAGUAGCCGAUCUGAGAGGAUGUACGGCCACAUUGGGACUGAGACACGGCCCAGACUCCUACGGGAGGCAGCAGUGGGGAAUAUUGCACAAUGGAGGAAACUCUGAUGCAGCGACGCCGCGUGAGUGAAGAAGUAUUUCGGUAUGUAAAGCUCUAUCAGCAGGGAAGAAAAUGACGGUACCUGACUAAGAAGCACCGGCUAAAUACGUGCCAGCAGCCGCGGUAAUACGUAUGGUGCAAGCGUUAUCCGGAUUUACUGGGUGUAAAGGGAGCGCAGGUGGCAAGGCAAGCCAGAAGUGAAAACCCGGGGCUCAACCGCGGGAUUGCUUUUGGAACUGUCAUGCUAGAGUGCAGGAGGGGUGAGCGGAAUUCCUAGUGUAGCGGUGAAAUGCGUAGAUAUUAGGAGGAACACCGGAGGCGAAGGCGGCUCACUGGACUGUAACUGACACUG
rnacentral:rRNA from 1 species